rnacentral:rRNA from 2 species
CAAACUCCUACGGGAGGCAGCAGUAGGGAAUCUUCCACAAUGGACGAAGUCUGAUGGAGCACGCGCGUGAGUGAAGAAGGGUUUCGGCUCGUAAACUCUGUGUAAAGAAGAACAUAUCUGAGAGUAACUGUUCAGGUAUUGACGGUAUUUAACCAGAAAGCCACGGCUAACUACGUGCCAGCAGCCGCGGUAAUACGUAGGUGGCAAGCGUUGUCCGGAUUUAUUGGGCGUAAAGCGAGCGCAGGCGGUUUUUUAAGUCUGAUGUGAAAGCCUUCGGCUCAACCGAAGAAGUGCAUCGGAAACUGGGAAACUUGAGUGCAGAAGAGGACAGUGGAACUCCAUGUGUAGCGGUGAAAUGCGUAGAUAUAUGGAAGAACACCAGUGGCGAAGGCGGCUGUCUGGUCGUAACUGACGCUGAGGCUCGAAAGUAUGGGUAGCAAACAGGAUUAGAUACCCUGGUAGUCCAUACCGUAAACGAUGAAUGCUAAGUGUUGGAGGGUUUCCGCCCUUCAGUGCUGCAGCUAACGCAUUAAGCAUUCCGCCUGGGGAGUACGGCCGCAAGGCUGAAACUCAAAGGAAUUGACGGGGGCCCGCACAAGCGGUGGAGCAUGUGGUUUAAUUCGAAGCUACGCGAAGAACCUUACCAGGUCUUGACAUACUAUGCAAAUCUAAGAGAUUAGACGUUCCCUUCGGGGACAUGGAUACAGGUGGUGCAUGGUUGUCGUCAGCUCGUGUCGUGAGAUGUUGGGUUAAGUCCCGCAACGAGCGCAACCCUUAUUAUCAGUUGCCAGCAUUAAGUUGGGCACUCUGGUGAGACUGCCGGUGACAAACCGGAGGAAGGUGGGGAUGACGUCAAAUCAUCAUGCCCCUUAUGACCUGGGCUACACACGUGCUACAAUGGAUGGUACAACGAGUUGCGAACUCGCGAGAGUAAGCUAAUCUCUUAAAGCCAUUCUCAGUUCGGAUUGUAGGCUGCAACUCGCCUACAUGAAGUCGGAAUCGCUAGUAAUCGCGGAUCAGCAUGCCGCGGUGAAUACGUUCCCGGGCCUUGUACACACCGCCCGUCACACCAUGAGAGUUUGUAACACCCAAAGUCGGUGGGGUAACCUUUUAGGAACCAGCCGCC